CUGGCUCAGGACGAACGCUGGCGGCGUGCUUAACACAUGCAAGUCGAACGAUGAAGCUCCAGCUUGCUGGGGUGGAUUAGUGGCGAACGGGUGAGUAACACGUGAGUAACCUGCCCUUCACUCUGGGAUAAGCCUUGGAAACGAGGUCUAAUACUGGAUAUUCAUACAUGGUCGCAUGGUUGUGUGUGGAAAGAUUUUUUGGUGGGGGAUGGACUCGCGGCCUAUCAGCUUGUUGGUGAGGUAGUGGCUCACCAAGGCUUUGACGGGUAGCCGGCCUGAGAGGGUGACCGGCCACACUGGGACUGAGACACGGCCCAGACUCCUACGGGAGGCAGCAGUGGGGAAUAUUGCACAAUGGGCGAAAGCCUGAUGCAGCGACGCCGCGUGAGGGAUGACGGCCUUCGGGUUGUAAACCUCUUUCAGUAGGGACGAAGCGAAAGUGACGGUACCUGCAGAAGAAGCACCGGCUAACUACGUGCCAGCAGCCGCGGUAAUACGUAGGGUGCGAGCGUUGUCCGGAAUUAUUGGGCGUAAAGAGCUUGUAGGCGGUUUGUCGCGUCUGCUGUGAAAGACCGGGGCUUAACUCCGGUUCUGCAGUGGGUACGGGCAGGCUAGAGUAUGGUAGGGGAGACUGGAAUUCCUGGUGUAGCGGUGAAAUGCGCAGAUAUCAGGAGGAACACCGAUGGCGAAGGC
rnacentral:rRNA from 1 species